AGUCACUGACAUUAGAUACCCGUGUAGUCCAGGGUGUAAACGCUGCAGACUUGGUGUUGGGAACCCUUCGGGGGUGCUCAGUGCCGGAGAGAAGUUGUUAAGUCUGCUACUUGGGGAGUAUGUCCGCAAGGAUGAAACUUAAAGGAAUUGGCGGGGGAGCACCGCAACGGGAGGAGCGUGCGGUUUAAUUGGAUUCAACGCCGAAAAACUCACCAGCAGCGACUGUUACAUGAAAGUCAGGUUGAUGACCUUACUAGAUUUUCAG
rnacentral:rRNA from 1 species